CCGACGUGGACAUCCAGGACCUGCUUUCCUGGCUCUGUCCUGGUGGCGUAUGGGAGCGUAGCUCUGAGAGCUGAGACGUACAGUCCCGUUCCACGCCGUCGGACACUAAGCUCCGUCCCCGGCGUCCUCGCUGGUGAGGACGGGGCGUCCUGCAUAUUCCUACGUCUUCCUAGAGUCUCUGUGGGGCCGUGACUGGGGAGAUAAACCAUGCAGGACACAAAC